UUAGUUUCAUCACAAUCAACCAUCAAAAUUUAUUCAAUAAAAUGUUCAAAAAAGCUAAAAAGACAAAAUGAAGAUUAACAAAGAAACUUUAAAAAGAACCUUAGAAGGCUAAAAAAUGAUCUAAAAGAUGCACACUCAAUUCCUUUCUUCAUAUUCUCAAGCUCAAUUGGGUUUCUCCUUGGAAUCCAGUUCCUUUCCUUUGUUGAAUCUUUUUGUAAUUCCUUCCCUUUUCUUACCACAAAGGACAACUUUUUCUUCACUUAAUGAAUUGUAACUUUUUUCUGUAUAAAUGCAGUUAGAGAAACAGAAAUCCAAUAAACCUCAGGAAACAUGACUAAUAGCUACAUUUUAUGCUUCAUUUUGCUGUGCUUGAUUGGUGGUCAAGGGCUGGUUAAGGGGGUAAAAGGGCUGGCAUGCAACUGGGGAACCCAAUCAACUCACCCUUUACAACCUAACAUAGUGGUGCAGCUUUUGAAAGACAAUGGUUUUAACAAGGUCAAGCUUUUUGAAGCUGAUCCUGGGGCACUAAAGGCUCUAGGGCGUUCUGGUAUCCAAGUUAUGGUUGGGAUACCAAAUGAUCUUCUAGCAUCACUUGCAAGUAGCCCCCAGGCUGCUAUAAACUGGGUGCAGCAAAAUGUGUCUAACUAUGUAUCUAAAUAUGGGGUGGAUAUAAGGUACGUAGCUGUGGGAAAUGAGCCUUUCCUCAAGACCUACAAAGACAUGUAUCUUCAGACAACAUUUCCAGCACUGAAAAAUAUUCAAGCAGCCUUGAUCAAAGCUGGCUUAGCCAAGAAAGCGAAGGUUACAGUACCACUAAAUGCAGAUGUCUACCAGAGUGAUAGUGGUCUACCUUCUGGUGGCAAUUUUCGAUCCGAUAUCCACGACCUCAUGAUCUCUAUGAUCAAGUUUCUCAGUGACAAUGACUCUCCUCUCACCAUCAACAUCUACCCAUUCCUUAGCCUCAAUGCAGACCCCAAUUUCCCCAAAGAUUUCGCCUUCUUCAAUGGCACAGCUGCCCCAGUUGUUGAUGGAUCCAUACCUUAUACCAAUGUCUUUGAAGCAAACUUUGACACCCUCAUUUCAGCUCUUGAAAAGAACGGUUUCUCAACAAUGCCUGUCAUCAUUGGCGAAGUUGGAUGGCCAACAGAUGGCGAUCCUAGCGCCAAUGCACAGUAUGCCCAGAGGUUCAACCAAGGCCUUCUCGAUAGAAUAUUUCAAGGGCAAGGCACCCCAAAACGCAAGACCCCACCUGAUGUCUACCUGUUUUCACUCAUUGAUGAAGAUGACAAGAGCACCCUGCCUGGGAAUUUUGAGAAACACUGGGGUAUUUUCUACUUCGAUGGAGCGAUCAAGUACCAAUUGAAUAUGGCAAAUGGUAAAUCUCUAGUUCCGGCAAAAGGUGUACGGUAUUUGGCCAAGCAGUGGUGUGUAAUGUCACCUGAUGCCAGCAUCACAGACCCCAAUCUGGCUAACAGCAUCAGCUACGCCUGCUCCUACGCCGAUUGCACGAGUCUUGGCUAUGGAUCUUCCUGCGGCAUCCUGGAUGCUAGAAACAAUGCUUCUUAUGCUUUUAACAUGUACUACCAGACUAUGGAUCAGAGGAAAGGUUCUUGUUCAUUUAACAACUUGUCAGUUGUUACAAACCUAAAUCCAUCUCAAGGUACCUGCAGAUUUGAGAUCAUGAUUGAUCUGGGCAAGCACGAAACUGCACCUCGUAGCUCAUUGGCUGGAAAAAUUCAAACCUCAACAAUGGGUCUCAUUGUAGUCCUACUAUUGAUCAUUUAUGGUGCUUUCUGAGUUAAAGUCACAAAGCCUGCACCAAUCUUCACCCCCGAUUAGGAUUUUUCAUGGUUUUCUUAUUCUGAAUUUUUUAAUGCUCCUGUAGCUCAGUUUCUUUACAAGCAUAGCAUCUUCAAUUCUAUGAUUAUUUGUUCCAACAAUGUAAAUAAGGAAAUCACAUAUUCAUGAUUUUCAACUUUGA
rnacentral:misc_RNA from 1 species